ACUCCAUCUCCCACGUGGUGUGGCUGGCCUCGUGUCUAUUAAAUGCUUUCUCUACUACAGUGCCGUGGGCUGUCUUUAUGCGGUGGGCAGGAAGAACCUCUCAGGCAGUUACAAUUACAAGCCCACAAAUUAAUUAGACCCAGUGCUGUAACACACUAGAUACAUGACUAUCAAGCUGAGAAGAAAAGACAGAUACCUGAGUUCCCCAGUCUCCUGCAAGUUUGAGAUCGGCUUGAGUGACAGUACUGAAUUCAGUGUUAGAGGUGGCCUCUAAAAGGGGCUCUCACAAUCUCCACCUCCUGGAAUUCAUGCCUGUGUGUAAUACCUUCUUGAUCCCUUGCAUCUGGAGAAAGCCACUGCCAUGACAUGCAGUAGCCCUGAAGUGAGACCUAGAUGAGUACGUUUAGAAAUAGAUCUUCUGUGGCCAGCCAACAGUGACGUGAGUGAGUCCAGAAGCAGAUCUUCACCUAGUUGAACCAUCUGAUGACAGCAGCCCCAAACAAGUUUGAUGGCUACUUUGUAAGACACAGACCCUAAGGUUGAAUCACCCAGAUAUAUCACUAUGAGAUUCCUGACUCACAGACAUGGUGACGUAAUAAAUGCCUCUUGCCUGGGAUACUUUUUAA